rnacentral:rRNA from 1 species
AAGGGUGAGUAACACGUGAAUAAUCUGCCUACGAAUUCGGGAUAACUCGACGAAAGUUGCGCUAAUACCGAAUAAGACCACGUCUCUUAUGUGAUGUGGCCAAAGGAGUCUCAAACUCCGUUUGUAGAUGAGUUCGCGGACCAUUAGCUAGUUGGAGGGAUAACAGCCCCCCAAGGCUACGAUGGUUAGCCGGCCUGAGAGGGUGAUCGGCCACACUGGAACUGAGACACGGUCCAGACUCC